UUUCUGGUAGCUCAGAUGGUAGAGAACCUGCCUACGAUGCAGGAGACCAGGGUUUGAUCCCUUGGUGGGAAA
rfam:Ovis aries breed Texel chromosome 14, whole genome shotgun sequence.